rnacentral:rRNA from 1 species
UAGCGGCAGGCUUAACACAUGCAAGUCGAGGGGUAACAGGGUGCUUGCACCGCUGACGACCGGCGAACGGGUGCGUAACGCGUAUAGAAUCUGCCUUGUACAGGAGGAUAGCCUUUAGAAAUGAAGAUUAAUACUCCAUAGUGUAGAGAGGUGGCAUCACUUUUUUAUUAAAGAUUUAUCGGUACAAGAUGACUAUGCGUCCUAUUAGCUAGAUGGUAAGGUAACGGCUUACCAUGGCAACGAUAGGUAGGGGGUCUGAGAGGAUUAUCCCCCACACUGGUACUGAGACACGGACCAGACUCCUACGGGAGGCAGCAGUGAGGAAUAUUGGUCAAUGGAGGCAACUCUGAACCAGCCAUGCCGCGUGCAGGAAGACUGCCCUAUGGGUUGUAAACUGCUUUUAUACAGGAAGAAACAGUCGUACGUGUACGGCCUUGACGGUACUGUAAGAAUAAGCACCGGCUAACUCCGUGCCAGCAGCCGCGGUAAU